rnacentral:rRNA from 1 species
GACGAACGCUGGCGGCGUGGAUUAGGCAUGCAAGUCGAACGGUAUCAUCCUUUCGGGGGUGAGAGAGUGGCGAACUGGUGAGUAACACGUAGGUUAUCUACCCUCAAGACGGGACAACCCAGGGAAACUUGGGCUAAUACCGGAUGUGAGCAACUUUUAGUUGUUUGAAAGGUGGCGUAAGCUGUCGCUUGGGGAUGAGCCUGCGUCCUAUUAGUUAGUCGGUGAGGUAACGGCUCACCUAGGCAAUGAUAGGUAGGCGGCCUUAACGGGUGGUCGCCCACACUGGGAUUGAGAUACGGCCCAGACUCCUACGGGAGGCAGCAGUCGAGAAUAGUCUACAAUGGUCGGAAGACUGAUAGUGCGACGCCGCGUGAACGAUGAAUCCCUUCGGGGUGUAAAGUUCUUUUAUAUGUGAGCAGUGCUUCUUAUAUUAACAGUAUGGGGAGAGAGAUAUUAGCAUAUGAAUAAGCAACGGCUAACUCCGUG